rnacentral:rRNA from 1 species
UACGAAGGUCCCAAGCGUUAUCCGGAUUUAUUGGGUUUAAAGGGUGCGUAGGCGGGUUAUUAAGUCAGUGGUGAAAGCCUGCAGCUUAACUGCAGAAUUGCCAUUGAUACUGAUGAUCUUGAGUAUGAUUGAGGUGGGCGGAAUGUGUCAUGUAGCGGUGAAAUGCUUAGAUAUGGCACAGAACACCGAUUGCGAAGGCAGCUCACUAAGUCAUAACUGA